CGAGCGCGAAUAGGGGCAACCCUUAGUAGAGCGGCGCACGGGUGCGUAACACGUGGAUAAUCUGCCUGGAUGCUCGGGAUAACCAGUCGAAAGAUUGGCUAAUACCGGAUAAGCCCACGGUUUCUUCGGAGACUGAGGGAAAAGGUGGCCUCUGUAUACAAGCUAUCACAACCAGAUGAGUCCGCGGCCCAUCAGCUAGUUGGCGGGGUAAUGGCCCACCAAGGCAACGACGGGUAGCUGGUCUGAGAGGACGAUCAGCCACACUGGAACUGAGACACGGUCCAGACUCCUACGGGAGGCAGCAGUGGGGAAUUUUGCGCAAUGGGCGAAAGCCUGACGCAGCAACGCCGCGUGUGUGAUGAAGGUCUUCGGAUUGUAAAGCACUUUCGACCGGGACGAAAACCCGUAGCCCAACACGCUACGGCUUGACGGUACCGGGAGAAGAAGCACCGGCUAACUCUGUGCCAGCAGCCGCGGUAAUACAGAGGGUGCAAGCGUUGUUCGGAAUUAUUGGGCGUAAAGCGCGUGUAGGCGGCGUGACAAGUCGGGUGUGAAAGCCCUCAGCUCAACUGAGGAAGUGCGCCCGAAACUGUCGUGCUUGAGUGCCGGAGAGGGUGGCGGAAUUCCCCAAGU
rnacentral:rRNA from 1 species